UGCUAUAUCCAAUUGUGGUGCUUGUUAUUAUUCAUAUAAUGAUCUACCAUUCCCUCCAUUACCUGGUUCUUGUCCUAGUGUGUGUCCAUUGGUUAAUGGUCAAGUGGAUGAGUCCUGCAUGGCAAGAUGGGGACAGUGUGUCCAGAGAUCAUAUUAUACCAUUUAUAAAACUGUUUCUGAGCGUGAGAGGUUUAAAGAUAACUUCCGCUGCUGGCCUCAUCAAUGCUAAUAUUAACUAGACAAUAACUAGUAAAAGACUAUAGUUAUGAUUUCCUUUUUGUUAGAUCUAGUUCAUCAAUAUUUGUAAUUGAUGAUUUAUAAUA